UGAAACUGCAAACAUGAUCUA
rnacentral:miRNA from 1 species